GUGUCAGCAGCCGCGGUAAAACGUAGGAGGCGAGCGUUAUCCGGAUUUACUGGGCGUAAAGCGCACGCAGGCGGCUUGGUAAGUUGGACGUGAAAGCUCCUGGCUUAACUGGGAGAGGCCGUUCGAAACUGCCGGGCUUGAGGUUGGGAGAGGGGUGUGGAAUUCCCGGUGUAGUGGUGGAAUGCGUAGAUAUCGGGAGGAACACCAGUGGCGAAGGCGGCACCCUGGCCCACACCUGACGCUGAGGUGCGAAAGCGUGGGGAGCAAACAGGAUUAGAAACCCCCGUAGUCC
rnacentral:rRNA from 1 species